UUUAUUUAUUUUAAUUACAUUCUUUAUUUAAAAAUAAUAUUUAUUUCUAGUGACGUCACUGUUAAGGGAGGAGUUAGGUAAGUGCAUUCAAAAGCAUUGGAUGCAGCUCAGAUUGCACCCUCACCAAGUCUGCAGCCAGACCCCGUUCAAAGGAGGAGCUCAAGAAAAGCCCCUAUAAAUAUUCUGUUUAAUUGGAAAUGAAUAAGCAUCACUUACAAAUGACACAGACCUUAAAUUUUAUAGUUCAAUGAGCAAAGAUCAAGGUCCUGAAAUGCAAUUCAACUAUGUAAAUAAACAAAAACACUCAUAUUCACUAUAUACAGUUGCACAUAUUUUGUUAAUAUAGUGUAAAGCUGUCUUUAAAUGCUCUGUUCUCAUCCGCCGCUCAGCUUUUCUCUGUGGUCAGGCUGACCGGUUCCUCUUUCAGGAGUUUGGCACGAGUGCUGUGCCGUGUUUCUGCCUGUAGUUUGGCUUCAGGAAGGCGGCGCAGCUCAGUGUCCUGCUUUUUAUUGUCUGUGUGCUUGUCUGCGGGGUCAAUGGAGACGCAGGUGUUCAUCACACACGCAAACACACACACACACACCGCAGUGCCUUAAACAACGCAACGCUAGCGAUGAUCUGAAAUCACAUUUUGGAGAUUGAAAGAAGCACACAGCAGCCUACUACUAAAGGAUGUCUGAAUGAACGUCUGUGAAGAAUUCGAGUUUUCGAGGACCUCAACAGAAACUCGACAUUCAGUAGUGGACAUCACUGACAUCCAGAAAAUAUCAACACAUCAGUCCAAACACAUGCGCUGUAGGUGAAUUGAACAAACUAAAUUGGCCGAAGUGUAUUUGUGUGUGUGUGAAU